UCUGGGAUUGCCCUGACCCAAAUGCAACACCUUGCACUUGGCCUUGUUGACCCCCUUAUUGGGUCCCUCACUAAAUACAGGCCACAAAGUCAUGUAGGAAGGCUGGGGGAAAAAAAUGGGCAUCCCUCCUGCCCUGAAGUAGUCUGUAUGUUUGCACAGAGGAGUGCUGGAAGCAGCUGGUGGAUAUGGGUUUGUGCCCAGCUUGCUCAAAGUGUAGACACAAGACUUGUGCUGCAUCAGCAUGCUGGAGGAGAAUCAAACCAAAAUUGUUUGAUCCUCCAACUUGCUAACUGUGAGGCAGGGUAGGAUAUUGCAAGUUGUACCAGCCACUGGAAAGUGCAAAUCGUUUGCUUUAGUAAUCCCUGUAAUCCUCUAUAAAUAAUGCCCUCCCCUAUACUGAUGAAAAAAAUUACAUAACAGCUACACCCAGCCAAAGGGAAAAAAUAAAAAAAACAAAAAAAUCAUCCAGUGCACUCAUGAUGCUGGUCAGAUUCAUCUGAGCCGCAUUAGGAGGGCUUAGUACUGCAGCCGGAGAAAGGAGGACUGUCAUCCGGAAGGAAUAUCUGCAUCAUCUUAGGCUGAAAACGUAGUUUUCAAGAAACUCCAGACCCCGAAUCUUUGUUUGUUGUGCAGGAAGCAGGCUGAGAUGGUAGAUAGGAGAUUGGUAUGCUGAGUCACAUUCAGCUGCUCGUUCAUAGGGACUUUUCCCCUACAGAUCCUACUCUGGACUCCAGGUCAGCAGUGGCUGCACAAGCUGUGAUGAGGUGGCUCUUCCAUCUGCAUGGAGGUAUGGGUCAUCCACGUGGAUAGCACAUGGAAAAAGCACUGCAGGCUUGCACUGGCACCCUUGUUAAGCUUUGCUAAAUGGUGAUUUAGUGGCUCAGGAGACAGAGCUGCAAAGGCUUCCUCUCCCUGGGCUGAACUGUACUGUCAGAGCUGCUGGGAGAUAUUUGUGAUGCAGCUGGAGGAAACUGUUCUCGGGUUAGAAAACUGCAAAGGGACGGUCAAUUGCUGACAGCUGAGCCCCAAGAUUUAGCUUUAAAAGAUAUAUGUAUAUUUGAGCAAUGUACGCUUAGAAGCACUGGGUUGUCCUGCAUUGUCUGGGUUGUCCUGAUAUUGUCUGAGGCUAUGCUUUAGGCCGCAGUCUGCGGGAGUGGCCUGUGCUUGAUAGAGCUGAUGGUCACCCAUUUGAUGGUCCUUAAAUUUGCCAGAGGGAAGUUUAUGAAGUGCUUAGAGAGACAGUGCCAGCAAGAACUGGGGCUACACAUACCUUUCAGGUCUUGAGGCUAAGGAAAGGGACAUCGAAAAGGAGGCAUAGAUGCAGCCCGUCCUUCCCAUUGAGGAAGGCUGUGGAGGGUUUCUGAGAAGGCUUCCUGUGCAAGGGGGGGGUGAUUCACUACUGAAGAGUGCAGCAGUCCUUGUGUAGGUCUGUGCUUCUGGCUUCUCCACAGCCUCCGCUGGCACUGAGUAAUCGCUGAGAUGAGUGGGGCUGAUGACUGCGAAGAUGACUGUAAAUCACAGCACCGCGAUCGCUCCUGCACGUGACAUUCCUCUCGACCUCUGGGAACUCUAAAAACAGCUGUGGUCUAAAACCCCCAGUAAAUUGCACUGUGAAAAUGAACUGUUUGGCAGAUGGAAGAAGACAACAGGAGGGCAGUGACCAGCAGUGGCUUCUAUGAUGCUGACUUUGAAAUGAGGUGACCAGAGCCUUUUCUCAGCUGUGCUUGUACCUCUGCUUAGAUCAUUUUUGCUGCAUGGGACUACCUGGUCUUACAGCCUGGGAUCAUUUUCUGACUGCAGACCAUGGACACCUGAGUGAAAGUCCCUGUUUUGCAAUAGAGUGGAGACCCUUGGCAGACAGAUAAAGUACUACCUCAUAGAGCUACAGUGACUCCACCACGUCUACCCCACACUGGUGGCAACUUCAGCAGGACCUUUGUUGGCAGUCUUUUGAGAAUCGGAAAACCUUGUCAGGCAGUUCUGCAGUGUCUUUGCCUGGAAAGAGAUAACAAAUGAUUUUUGUGGGACAGAAAUAAAUUUUGUUAG